GGCUCGGUAGCCCAGUCGGUAGAGCAGAGGUUUGAAAAUCCUUGUGUCGGUGGUUCGAUUCCGCCCCGGGCCA
rnacentral:tRNA from 1 species